rnacentral:lncRNA from 1 species
GUUAAAGGUCAAAGGUCACCUCCGCAAAUGGCACCAACUGUGUAGCCUGGCAGUGGGACUUUGUCCAGCUUUCUGAUCAGUAGAAUAGAAGGAUGCCUUCCUCCAAGACCUGUUUGGAGAAUUAAACCAGCUAAUGUAGGAGCCACGGCUGCCGCUGGGGAGGGCCCAGUAAUUAUUAGUUCCCUCCCCGUCCUAGGGGACCCCCCAGGAGAGCGUAGUGUGGGCUCCUAGUGGGGCCUCUCGAGGCAAAUACCUCCCGAGAGGGGGCGCGCGCCCUCCCCUCUUCCCAUGGGGCGCCCCCAGUUCCAGCCUGACCUGGAACUCAGGGUUGCCAGAGCUGCUGAAUUUUCAAGAGAAAGCGGAAAUCUGAGUUUUAAUGAGACCGCUCCUGAUUUUUUAAAACGUUGAUCAUGAAGUUAAAACAAUAAUAAUGGGACAGGGUUUCACCAUGUUAACCAGUCUGGUCUUGAAUUCCUGACCUCAAGUGAUCUGCCUACCUUGGCCUCCCAAAGUGCUGGGAUUACAGGCAUGAGCUGUCGCACUCAGCCAACAUUCCUGUUUUUGAAAAUCCUCCAAUCCCUGAAGUCUGUAUUACAAGACCAAUUCUGCAUUGCUGAGAGAGACUGUGCUUUACAGAGAGUAAGAUCCUUGAUACUGGCUCAGCAUGGAACAUCUGGCACACAGUAUGCACUGAGGAAAUACUUGUUGGAAUAAUCAGUGAAUCAUAGAUGAAAACUUAACCUUGGAAUUAAUUAUGAGACUGCUCAGAGGAAGAGAAUGGGAGACAAAGGACCUGGUGAUUAGACCCCCAAGACACUGGGCUGUCUGCUUGUGUCUCGGGUGGAACAGGCCCAGCGAGAGUCUUUAGGGCCAGAACUCAAGAAUUUAUUGAGCCCUUGUUCUAGGCACUUGGGAUUCACCAGUAUACAAUGGAGACAAAAAUCCCUGCCCUGGAGCAGCUUACAUUCUAGCAUGGCAAACAGGCAGUAAACAGCCCAUUCUGGCUGCUGUAUUGAGAAGAGAAUGUGGUGGACAGAUAUAGAAGCAUGGAAACCUGAUAGGGCUAUUGCAAUCACUCAGAAAAGAGGCGAUGGCAGCUUGGACCUGUUGGAAGCAGUAGAGUGCUUCCAGGGAGGAGAAAGGACCUGAAGGUUAAUUUGAUCACCAAUGGCCAAUGAUGUAAUCAGUUAUGCCUAUGUAAUGAAGCUUCCGUAAAAACCAAAAGGAUUGGGUUUGAUUGAGCUUCUGGAUAGCUAAACAUGUGGAAGUUCCUGGAGGAUGGUGGUCCUAAACAGGGUUACCAGAAAAUUUAAAGUUACGCCAGUCACUCCCAUUCUAUUGCUGAGAGAAAAUACAGAGCGGUGAAGAGCUUACAGUCGGGUGAGCAAGAUACGCCCCCAAUGUUAGCUAAUGAUGUAAGGCAUCAACAAGAAAUGUGGGGGUUCAGGAAAGUGGAAGGUGGGGUCGUCCAAAGCCUGGGAAAGUCUUCAGUUGAAGGCGAGACAGAUGGGACUAUUAGUGAGUUUCGAGAGAUCCAACGCCUCGCCGCCUUCGCUUCAUUUUUGUCUCACGCCCCACCCUUGAACGCGCGGCGCCUUUUGACCCCGCCGCCGCGCCGUAGACCGCGCUGCACGCCGGCGGCAGCCAUGGCGGAUGUGUCAGAGAGGACACUGCAGUUGUCCGUGCUAGUAGCCUUCGCUUCUGGAGUACUCCUGGGCUGGCAGGCGAACCGACUGCGGAGGCGCUACUUGGACUGGAGGAAAAGGAGGCUGCAGGACAAGCUGGCGGCGACGCAGAAGAAGCUGGACCUGGCCUGAGACUCUGCGCCUUCCGCCCCAUUCUGUCCCCCUCAUGGCCACCUUGCCAUGUCCGCGCCGGAGCCCCGGUCCGCCGGCGCCCAGAACCAGGCUUGCCACACAGUCCCCGCCUGCCAUGGCCGGCUCUUCCUGGAGUGUUGCUUGUUGAAGAUGCAUAUAGACUACCGGAAAGAAAUGACUUCUUCUUGCACUUUAUGAAUCAAUUUUAUUUUUAAAAUAAAAAAAUUAAACAUC